UACGUAGGGUCCGAGCGUUGUCCGGAAUUAUUGGGCGUAAAGGGCUCGUAGGCGGUUUGUCGCGUCGGGAGUGAAAACACCGGGCUUAACUCGGUGCUUGCUUUCGAUACGGGCAGACUGGAGGUAUGCAGGGGAGAACGGAAUUCCUGGUGUAGCGGUGAAAUGCGCAGAUAUCAGGAGGAACACCGGUGGCGAAGGCGGUUCUCUGGGCAUUACCUGAUGCUGAGGAGCGAAAGUGUGGGGAGCGAACAGG
rnacentral:rRNA from 1 species